rnacentral:tRNA from 1 species
AAGAUACUAAUUAAACAGAUAUAAUAUUUCUUUGUCAAGGAAGAAUUGCAAGUUAAAGUCUUGCGUAUCUUA